UCCAUCGUAGAGCUAAUUUUUGUAUUUAGGGGCUGAUGUUAGAUUCAUUGCAGAAUGUAAAGUUCGUAUAAACACUCGAAGGCCCUUUGAUGUGUCCUUCGUUCGUUUAGCAGCAAAUUUCUCUUCUUUCUAAGAGUUGUUUCGUAUUUCUCUUCCAGAGGCCUUUUUCUUUGUGUCCUUUAGUGCAGCCAUGGAUUGUCGGGGUUUGAUUCGUUUUAUGGGGUUCAUUGUGUUGGUUUUUCUCAUUCUAUCUGAAGCCUGCAUGGCUGGUAUACAAACCAUUGGCAAGAUUUAUCCUGGGUUUCAAGGGUCUCAGAUGAAUUGGAUUGAUAAGAAUGGGCUAUUUCUUUUAUCUAAUAAUUCAAAUUUUGCUUUUGGCUUCAACCCUACUUCAGAUGUUACAUUAUAUCUAUUAGUUAUUAUCCACACGACAAGCUUGGAUGUUAUAUGGACUGCAAAUAGAGGCUCCCCAGUUGCAAAUUCUGAUCAAUUCUUCUUUGGUGAAGAUGGUACUGUGUCUUUACACAAGGGGGAACGUCCAGUCUGGACACCUGAUACUGGUGGUAAAAGAGUUUCUGCAAUAGAAUUGCAGGAUUCAGGAAAUCUGGUUUUGUUGGGGAAUGACAGCAGUGUAAUUUGGCAAAGCUUUAGCCAUCCAACAAACACACUAAUAUCAGACCAGGAGUUUCGAGAGGGAAUGAAACUGGUCAGUGAUCCUAGCGCCAAUAACUUGACCUAUGUUCUUGAGAUCAAGUCUGGUGACAUGAUUCUGUCUGCUGGAUUCCGAACUCCCCAGCCUUACUGGUCCAUGCAAAAUGACAAUGAUAAAACCAUCAAUAAAGCUGGUGGAACAGUCACUCUGGCAUCUCUCAAUGCAAAUUCAUGGAGAUUCUAUGACAGUAAUGAAGUGCUCUUGUGGCAAUUUAAGUUUGCAGAUGAGAAAGAUGCGAAUGCUACCUGGAUUGCAGUUGUUGAAAAUGAUGGCUUCAUUUCUUUCUACAACCUUAAUGAUGGAGGUAGUGCUUCGCAGACAAAAAUACCAAGUGAUCCGUGCAGCAGGCCAGAACCUUGUGAUGCAUAUUUUGUUUGUUCUGGUAACAAUGUUUGUCAAUGCCCUUCAGCUCUUAGUACCAGCCCAAAUUGCAAGCCAGGUAUUGUAUCUUCGUGUGAUGGUUCAAAGGGCUCUACAGCGCUUGUAAGUGCUGGCAAUGGGCUCAAUUACUUUGCACUUGGGUUUGUUCCAGCUUCUUCAAAAACUAGCUUGGAAGGUUGCCAAUCCUCUUGCCGUGAUAACUGCUCCUGUCUUGCUUUGUUCUUCCAGAACAGUACGGGGAAUUGCUUCCUUUUUGACCAAAUUGGAAGUUUCCAAGAUGCUGGCACCGGUUCCAGUGUUGUUACAUACAUUAAAGUCUUAAGUGACUCAAACAGUGGAGACACUGGAAGCAGCAAAAAAGGUUUUCCUUUUGUUGUGAUAAUUGUUGUUGCAACAGUGCUUGUCAUUUUUGGUCUACUUUAUGUGGCAUUUCGAUAUUACAAGAACAAGAAAAGAUUGCCAGCAUCUCCCCAAGAGACCUCAGAAGAUGAUAAUUUCUUGGAGGGUUUAUCUGGGAUGCCGAUUCGUUAUAGUUACAGGGAUCUUCAAACUGCAACUAACAACUUCUCAGUGAAGCUUGGACAUGGAGGAUUUGGUUCGGUUUAUGAAGGGGUUCUUCAAGAUGGAACACGACUGGCUGUGAAGAAGCUAGAAGGCAUUGGUCAGGGAAAGAAAGAAUUCCGAGCAGAAGUUAGCAUCAUUGGUAGUAUUCAUCAUCACCACUUGGUGAGGCUGAAAGGCUUCUGUGCUGAAGGAUCUCACCGCCUGCUUGCUUAUGAGUUCAUGGCAAAUGGGUCUUUGGAUAAAUGGAUCUUCAAGAGAAACAAUGAAGAUUUCCUGUUGGAUUGGGAUACAAGAUUCAAUAU
rnacentral:misc_RNA from 1 species